rnacentral:tRNA from 1 species
UUGUGAAAAAGUCAAAAAGAGACAAAUUAUUGUUAAUAAUUUAAAUGGGGCCCCCUUUCACA